AUAACUGCAUUGACGGAGACAGUAUUUUUUGAACGUGGCUAAAGCGAUUCGGGGAUGGUGCAAGCUCGAACAAACAUUCAAAAAAGAAAAUCACUCCUGAGCAAAAUUACUGAACUUAAAAGCAUCAUUGCUUUUUUAGUAAGUGGUUUCGUAUACACUAGCGUUAAAGUGUCUAAGAGGUAAUCUAACCGUACGAUUAGAUUGCAAAUUAGGGUGGUACCACGAGUUAUAGCAACUCGUCCCUUUA
rnacentral:ncRNA from 1 species